rnacentral:rRNA from 1 species
GACGAACGCUGGCGGCGUGCUUAACACAUGCAAGUCGAACGCUGAAGACCUGGCUUUUGUUGGGUUGGAUGAGUGGCGAACGGGUGAGUAACACGUGAGUAACCUGCCCUCUUCUUUGGGAUAACGCCCGGAAACGGGUGCUAAUACUGGAUAUUCACUGAUCUUCGCAUGGGGGUUGGUGGAAAGGUUUGUUCUGGUGGGGGAUGGGCUCGCGGCCUAUCAGCUUGUUGGUGGGGUGAUGGCCUACCAAGGCUUUGACGGGUAGCCGGCCUGAGAGGGGGACCGGUCACAUUGGGACUGAGAUACGGCCCAGACUCCUACGGGAGGCAGCAGUGGGGAAUAUUGCACAAUGGGCGAAAGCCUGAUGCAGCGACGCCGCGUGAGGGAUGGAGGCCUUCGGGUUGUAAACCUCUUUCGCUCAUGGUCAAGCCGCAACUGUGGGUUGUGGUGAGGGUAGUGGGUAAAGAAGCGCCGGCUAACUACGUG